GCUCCGGUGGCCUAGUGGUUAGAGCAACCUCUUCGGAUGCGGGAGGUCGCGGGUUUUAAACCCGGCCGAUUCA